AUACAGAGGGUGCGAGCGUUAAUCGGAAUUACUGGGCGUAAAGCGCGCGUAGGCGGCUUAUUAAGUCAGAUGUGAAAUCCCCGGGCUCGACCUGGGAACUGCAUCUGAUACUGGUAAGCUAGAGUUUUGGAGAGGGAAGUAGAAUUUCAGGUGUAGCGGUGAAAUGCAUAGAGAUCUGAAGGAAUACCAGUGGCGAAGGCGACUUCCUGGCCAAAAACUGACGCUGAGGUGCGAAAGCGUGGGUAGCAAACGGGAUUAGAUACCCCGGUAGUCC
rnacentral:rRNA from 1 species